CCACCCUGCCUGUGGGCGGCAGAGGCUAGCCAGCGUCAGCUCCAGGGCUUCCGGGUUUCUAGACUUCCGCCGGGCCCUCAGCUGUCAGGAGGCGCGUUCCUCACUUACCUCGCAGCCCUAGGAUUCCUGGCAGUUUCGUAAGGCCACAGCUGGAAUGCAGCUGCUGGGGGUGGAGCGAGCAGAACCCUUGUUUCCUGCCUGUGCGUGGCUAUAACAAUAAUUACCCAUGUGGCAGACGUGCUGAGCACCUAAGAGUCACUCUGUCAAACGGGGCAAGGUCUCAACGUGAGAACUCGAAGCCCUUCACUUCUCCUCUGGCCGACCUUCAUCUCCCCAGCACCCAGGACACACCCCUGAUGUGUACCAGGUGGCCGGAACUAACUCCAGCAGGAUGUGCCCUCUGGAGCCCCAGGCGGUUGGCAACAAGGACCUGGCAGGCCUGCUCAAGGCAAACGCAGCUGUUUCCGGACUUCCUGCAUUCUUAUCACCUGAGUUGCCCUGAGCAGCUCUUGUUCUUCGGAACCUACAGGAACCUACCAGUCAUGUUGCCAGUUUCUCGGAGACUGCCCCAUGUAGCUGGCAGAUCCCACACUGUGCCCAGCCUGUCCCAGAACAAGAGCUCUACAAACAGGACGUUCUCAUGUUGCAGUCUACAGAAGCUUACUGAGGACUCGCCCAGUGGGAAACCUUACCAAUGCAGGAAGGACCAGACACCUCAACCACCGUUUCUCACUGUCACCGGGCGAUGUCUGGAGGAAGGCAGACUUCCACCUCCACCUUCUGAUCCAGAGUUUGUAUUUUAGCAAAGGCCUGGUGGUUCCUAUGCAAGUCAGAGCUAGAGGCAACUGAAAGCAACAGUUUCCCACAAUAAAGAUGUUGCACGCUUCCUCCUGGGGAGAUGUGGGCAGACAUCUGUUCUCCUCAGAUGUGGCAUUGAAGACGGACCAAAGAAAUAAUUGAGGCCAACUGUGGCUUGGUUGGAUCCCUAAGAGGCCCUUCCACCCCAGAUGACAAGCCACUUGUUGCCCCCAGGAUAAGGUCCACGUCUUCAGGACUCUCAUACCGCCCAGGAGUGGCCCCCUGAACCCCACCCCUGAGUACCAGAGUGGUUCCACCCUCCUUCUCAUCCCCAGGAGGAGGCAGAUUCCAAAGCGGAAGUUUAAGGGAUGCUUUAUGGGAAUGGGGGAGGAUGGAAGGGUGGGGCUGCCCAGGAACCUUUUACAUGAAAGACUCCGGUGGCUGCUACCGCCACCAAGUAGGGUCCCUGAGCCUCACAGCUGCCUCAGCCCUGUUCUUUUUUAUCUACUUAGAGUGCUCAGCGGGGUCAUGGCAAGCCGGAGAAGCAAUGCUAAUGACUCCGGCUCCACGUGGCCACCAUUCAGGGGGAAAAAAAAAAAGCUGCAAUGUUCUCUCUGCCACAUUAAUCAGAGAAACACAUCGAGAGCCGGUUGCAUGGAGACAGCUUUCCUCGUGGUACCUGCCCUGCAUGCUAAUCACCUCCCCUCCUGGCAGUGAGUCAGCUCUGAGCCUUGGCUGGUGGCAGAGAGGCCUGGCCAGGAGCACCAGCUCCACUCAGGUGUCACAAGCCAGAGCUGUGGCACCUUGUACCCUACCCAGAUGCCCCUCACCCCAAUGCCCAUCGUCCACCACUGUCCAUCCCCUGGUAUAAAUUUUGGAUCACUUCCCUUGCCGCUUAAGACUUCCCUCCCAGGUCCAAAGGGAAUUCUCUAGAAACUAGUUUCUGAACAGAGUCUGAUUAAAGUAAGAGGGGACUCACUGUCAGGCCCUUGGAUAACAAUGACAUCACCUUAGAUGGUAUUCGGCGGGUGGCAGUCACAAACAUAAGCAGUCUAGACAGAUUAGCUCAUUUGAUUCUUAUGUAACCUUUCAGAUUCUUCACGGAUGUGACUCCGAGUUUACAGGUAAACUCACACAGAGAAGUUUAGGGAGCAACCCAAGGUCACACACCUAUAACACAAGGAGACUGAACCCUGAACCGUGGCCUCCCAUUGCUCUCCCUGGGCCUGGCUCUCCUGAACACAAUAAAGCCUCUGAAUCGUUUUACACAUAAAGGUCAUCCAUUCGUUAAUUCAACAACUAUCUGUUGGACCUACUGCCUGCCAGGCUCAUAGCUAGGCACCAGGGAGCUAUCAGUAAAUGAAAGAGAUCACAGACGGAGGGGUGAUUGACAGGAAUUUCACAAAUUCAUAGUCAUGGAAAACGCGGUAAACUGGGCAGUGGUGGCACAGACCUUUAAUCCCAGCACUUGGGAGGCAGAGGCAGAGUUCAGGGCCAGCCUGGUCUACAAGAGCUAGUUCCAGGAAACAUGGGCUGUUACACAGAGAAACCCUGUCUCGGAAAAACAAACAAACAAACAAACAAAACCUGGUGAGCGCCCGCGUAGAAUCAGGUCUUUUCAGGGGUCCAGAGAAACAUUUGUCAAAGAAAUGACGCACAGAGACUAAUAUUUCACAGUGCAGUCUUUGUGUCUGGACAGUGAUGGCGCUGGGCCCUGUGUUGGCAACGGGAGCAUCCGCAAAAGGGAACUUGUUCAGAAAGGCGGGCGCAGGUAUGGUGUCAAAUACUUGUUACCCCAACAUUCAGGAGGUGGAGGCAGGAGGAUCCAGAGUCCCAGGCCAGCCUGGGCUGUUCCAUGAGACCCUGUAUCAAAGAAGGAAUUCAAACUCUCAGGCUCCACCCCUGACGUACCGAGAACACAGGAUUGUGCAAAGACCAUGUGCCUUGGCCGACCCCCCCCCCCCAACUUCACCCCAGGUCUGAAUCAGGGCCAACACUCCUGGGGAGAGGGGAACAGGAAGGGCCUAAAGGAAGGCAGAAAGACAGUGUCCCUCUGGAGACCCUUGCGGCUGACUUUUUCUUCAGCUUCCCUUGUCCCUGCUUGGGGCAUACCACCUCUACUACAAGCCUGCAGGUGUGUGAAGGCAGAGUGGCCUGGACCGGGACUGGCCUGUAGGUGUGGGAAGCAGUUCUGCCCUGAGUCAUUGUUCAACCAGGAAGCUUGGCCAGAGGGGAGCCUGGAGGAAGAGCAAGCAAGUCACUGAGUUGAAUUUUCAGGCUUGAGGUGGGUAAGAGGGUGGAGUGGCUCCCGAAGGUGUAGAGGUCUCCAGUCCCCUGACGUGACAGUCCUUUGGUUUCCAGGAAGCUCCAGUUUAGAUCAUGAAUCCCGUUGCCGGGGACGUUUCUUCCCUAGUGCCCAGAAAGGACCCCAAAGACCGCCUUCCUUGUUCUCCACAGUCUGCCCAGGAUCUGAGGAGCCAGUUGGCUCUCAGCUAGAGAUUAGUUUCCGGGCACAGGGUCCCCAGAGGUGGCUUCACCCCUCCUCUAGAGACAGCCCUGGCUGUAGCAGACCAUGCAUAGCCCUAAGCACGCAGCAUCCUGCAUAGAAGAGUUGCUGGUGUUGCUAUGAGUAACUGAAGCCAGGAAGGAGCUUGUAGUGGGGGACUGGCCACUGUCUCCAGGCUCAACAGUUCAGACGAGGUGUGGCUACCCCUGCUGCCUAGAAUCGCUGGCCUAGAAAUAAGCCAAUGUUGGUGACAACCAAACAGCCUCCAGGCCCCACGUCUACCGGAAUUUAUGGGACACGUACUAUGUAUGACUAGACAUUGCGUGAGGCCCCUUUGUGUGUCCCCUGCGAAAGCAGUUGGUCUUCAGACCCUCCCUCCUGUCCUUCUGUCCACAGCGUGUAUUGAUCACUAUCGCUGCUGGCAGCACAUCAAGAUGGGGGGAGGUGGCACAGGCACAGAUGUUCCAGAGACAUGUUCUGAGGGACAAGAUUGAUAUUUCCGAGUGUCUUAUUAUUAUUAUCACUAUUAUUGUUAUUAUUAUUGCUGUGUACUUAUUUUUGCUUCUCGGAGACAGGGUUCCUCUCUGUGCCUCUGGCUGUCCUAGAACUAGCUCUGUAGAGGUUGUGUGGCCACCUCACUCCUCUUUGUGACCUUGUAUUUAGGGCGUCGUGGGCAUUAGUUGUGAAUGAGCUAAUGUCCCCAGAACCUAGCUGCUCUCUUGGUGUGGGAUAUAGGCCUGCGACCAAUUUGUUUUGUCCCUGCUCUUCCCCCUAGAACAAGGAAAGAGGAAGCAAAGACUCCCUGGAAAUUGAAACCAGACCCAUCAUAGUCCUGGCAGCCACAUGAGUCUCCAGGCCAGAGGGCCUCUCUUUGAGAACAGAGAGCCCUGGAGGGCAAUAGGCCCUGUGCCCAGCAUGGCAAGUCAGGCUAAGGAAUGCAGUGCCAGGCAAGAUAAAUACUUUUGGGGUCUUGGCCUAGCACUGGGGACUGUUUGUGACUCCAUUAGAGGCAGGUUUGGCUCCAGCCAGAAACCAGAGUGCUGGCUCGGGCUUAGGCCUGGCAAUGGGCCGACCGCCAACAUGGAGGCAGGAAGAAAGCUGUUUUUACCCCUUCCCACCCUCCUAGGGAUCAGUGGGAAUGGGGGGGCCAGAAAAAGCAGCUGAGUUUGAAGUCCUACUCCCACUUUGUUGGGUUCCUCACCAGUGCUUCUCGGAGGUCCCCAGGGAAGUGCUCUCCCUCUGUGAGGGCCGCCUCUAUACAAGCACUACUGGACUUGGAGCAGACGGACAUUGUGCCCCUCCAGUGUGGCAGUGGCCUUCUGACGUUGGUUCGGGUGACAUUCAGGCAUCUCACCCGUGAUUCCGCCUUGUCUAGUGGAAGCUGAUGGAUGGACUUGGGAGAGAGAGGUCUUCCCAGAAGGGCAGGCCUGGGGAAGCAAUCGGGCAACAAACAGAACAAACAGAAGAGGCAGUGUUCCAGCUCUCUCCGCUCUUUGUUUUGGAAACAAAAAUGCAGAGGAAAAAAAAAGUGAGCUGGUGGCUCAAACCUGUAAUCUUAGUACCCAGGAAUCUGAGGCAGGGGGAGCACCAUGAGUUUGAGGCCAGCCUAUGCUACAGAGUCAGGUCUGUGUCAAAAUAAAUAAGCAAAUAAACAAUGAGAAACAGCAGCAGCAACAGGAAAGCAGCUCCUUUCAUGCCUGUUCCUGACCAGCGUCACCACUGUCCCCGGCAAUAACCGUAAGCGACAUGUACCACGCCAGACUUUCCAGGUGUUUACAUAGAGAACACACACAUGCUCGCGUAUGUAUGGGGUCAAGUUCUUUGUUUCAUGGCGGUUUUGCACAAAUGGCUGACCGGAUUACUCUGCAGUUGCUUGCUUGGAACAGUCCACGCUGACUUCCUCUUGGGGGAAGUAGCCUUGUUUGAUUUUUCUUAGCUUUUCUGCAUAACAGUCCGCGCGUGGCUAUAGCAUUGACAGCUGGUUCGGUAGCUUCUCCUCCGCCUCUGCUCUCCCUCGGGGAGCAUGAGCCAGCUUUUGUAGUAAAUGGCAUGUCUACCCGAUUCCAGGGGCCACCACCCACUCUCAGAAUGUGACAGCCCUGCCUGACGGACAGUUGAGGUGUCUCUGAUUGUCACCCCACCGACAGUCCCCCAGGGAGCAUGUUGCCUGGGCUUUCUGGGUGCAUGUGAAUAGUUUUUUGGCCAUCGCUUCCUCUGGUGAAGCUGGUGGGCAGAAGCUCCUCUUGGUGGAUGCUGCUACAAUGUGGCAGGGUGGCUUAGGGCUCCCUGGUUUCCUCAGCCCUCAGCCAUACAAGUCUCAGUAGCACACACAUAUCCCACGUGACUGCUGACUGAGUGGCCGUUUCCAGGAAAUCGAUUGUAAAGACCUCAGAGUGUCAGUGGCUCACACACUGGAGGCAGUCCAGGGAGUAGAUAAAACUGUAUGAGAAAAAUCACAUCCUGAGCUCAAGACGGCUGGUAAUGGGGGCCCUGCGGUGACCUUUCUGGAGAACUUAUAGUUUCACACUUGCUCGCUCUCCACCUCCGGCCCCUGCACAAGGGUAGUCCCUCUCUGUCUUUGAAGGAGUCUCUCUCCUCAUGAAUAGGUCUGGCUACUAGGUCCAGGGUCCAAGCUGUCUUUGUAGCCAGGGGCUAUCAAACCCUCUCCUAGUCCCAGACCGGUGGCUCCUCCCAGCUGGGCACAGCCCACCCCCCCACCCCC